CUUUGGUUCUAUUUUGUUGGUUCUAGGACCGAAGUAAUGAUUAAUAGGGAUGGUUGGGGGCAUUAGUAUUUAAUUGUCAGAGGUGAAAUUCUUAGAUUUAUGAAAGACUAACUACUGCGAAAGCAUUUGCCAAGGAUGUUUUCAUUGAUCAAGAACGAAAGUUAGGGGAUCGAAGACGAUCAGAUACCGUCGUAGUCUUAACCAUAAACUAUGCCGACUAGGGAUUAGCGGGUGUUUGUAAUGACCCCGUUGGCACCUUACGAGAAAUCAAAGUUUUUGGGUUCUGGGGGGAGUAUGGUCGCAAGGCUGAAACUUAAAGGAAUUGACGGAAGGGCACCACCAGGAGUGGAGCCUGCGGCUUAAUUUGACUCAACACGGGGAAACUCACCA
rnacentral:rRNA from 1 species